GAAACCUAUCCCAUUCAGGAAAUGCAAACUUUGCAGCUCUUGGGGAAAUACCGCAUCACCAUCUCUGCAUUCACUUAAGGUUUUGCCAAUGCUGGGACCCAGGACCUUUACUGCAAUGACCAGCAUGGUAACCUCCUACCCACAGAUAGCAUUCUUGACCAUUAUUAUCAACUGAAAAGUAAUGUGCCCUGGUCAGUAUGGAUUUCCAGUCGGGUGGUCCCCGCCGAAGGAACCGGGACCAGACCCAUGUUUGUGCACAUCACGGCCUCGCUGCUAUGGGACGCUUGUUUCCCUUG